rnacentral:rRNA from 1 species
UGGGGGAUUUUGCACAAUGGGCGCAAGCCUGAUGCAGCGACGCCGCGUGAGGGAUGAAGGCCUUCGGGUUGUAAACCUCUUUCGCUGGGUUGAAAGGCCAUGCUUUGGGUGUGGUUGAUUUGAACUGGUAAAGAAGUACCGGCUAACUACGUGCCAGCAGCCGCGGUAAUACGUAGGGUACUAGCGUUGUCCGGAUUUAUUGGGCGUAAAGGGCUUGUAGGUGGUUUGUCACGUCUGUCGUGAAAUCCUGUGGCUUACACAUGUGCUUGCGGUGGGUACGGGCCGGCUGGAGUGCGGUAGGGGAGACUGGAAUUCCUGGUGUAGCGGUGGAAUGCGCAGAUAUAAGGAGGAACACCGGUGGCGAAUGCGGGUCUCUGGGCCGUUACUGACACUGAGGAGCGAAAGCGUGGGGAGCGAACAGG